rnacentral:rRNA from 1 species
UAAGGAAUAUUGGUCAAUGGACGCAAGUCUGAACCAGCCAUGCCGCGUGGAGGAUGAAGGCCCUCUGGGUUGUAAACUUCUUUUAUCUGGGACGAAACACUUCUUUUCUAGGAAGCUUGACGGUACCAGGUGAAUAAGCACCGGCUAACUCCGUGCCAGCAGCCGCGGUAAUACGGAGGGUGCAAGCGUUAUCCGGAUUCACUGGGUUUAAAGGGUGCGUAGGCGGACAUGUAAGUCCGUGGUGAAAUCUCAGGGCUUAACCCUGAAACUGCCAUGGAUACUAUAUGUCUUGAAUGUUGUGGAGGUUAGCGGAAUAUGUCAUGUAGCGGUGAAAUGCAUAGAUAUGACAUAGAACACCAAUUGCGAAGGCAGCUGGCUACACAAAUAUUGACGCUGAGGCACGAAAGCGUGGGGAUCAAACA